rnacentral:lncRNA from 1 species
UAAAACAUCUACAUUCUAACCUUUUUUGCUGCCAACCAUAGCCAAUUGGGUUACAACACCCAUUCAAAUGACACCUAGGACAUUCCGUAAGCAUGCCCUGUGCUAGCAAAAGUUCAAUAUCACUAGACAGCAUACGUUUUAUGUAAGGAAAUAUUACAUGUUUAUUCUCAGAUAGCAAAUAAGUACAAUUAAUUGGACCUUUUCCAUACCAAAUGUCUUUUCAUUAAAAUAAUUUCUUUGGCA